rnacentral:rRNA from 1 species
AUUGAACGCUGGCGGCAGGCUUAACACAUGCAAGUCGAGCGAGCGGCGGACGGGUGAGUAAUGUCUGGGAAACUGCCUGAUGGAGGGGGAUAACUACUGGAAACGGUAUCUAAUACCGCAUACCAUCAGAUGUUCCCAGCUGGGAUUAGCUUGUUGGUGGGGUAACGGCUCACCAGGGCGCCGAUCCCUAGCUGGUCUGAGAGGAUGACCAGACACAUUGGAAGUGAUACACGGCCAAGACUCCUACGGGAGGCAGAAGGGGGAAAUAUUGCACAAUGGGCGCAAGCCGGAUGCAGCCAUGCCGAGUGGAUGAAGAAGGCCUUCGGGUUGAAAAGUACGUGCAGCGGGGAGGCGUUACCCGCAGAAGAAGCACCGGCUAACUCCGUGCCAGCAGCCGCGGUAAUAC